UCUGAAGCGGUGUGGCAUGUUGGAAAAAGCAAAGGCGUUCUGAAGGCAGCUGAAAUCCUUUCCAGUUACAGCCGCGGCUCUCGCCACCUGUGAGAGCUCCUGCACGCUCCUCACCUCGAAUGUUUUUCCUCGUCUGUAAAUAACAGGGACAAUACCUUCCUCACGCGGUGUUUGCAAAGAUUAAUUGAGGUCAAGCACGUACAGCCGCUAACACAGGCGUGGCUCCUAGCGGUGCUCAAGAAGUGUGGGGAAUUUUUGUAUGUUGUGUCUCCUCAAUAAACGUAGAACAAGUAACCAAACAAAGAAAUGAAUGAACAAAAGGAACUGGAUGUUCUUAUGGAACACUUUAUCUAGAACAGAGGUUUUCAAACGUUUGGUUGUUGUUAGCGGAGAAAACCGUGCCUCAAGUAAGAUCUUAUGCAGAAGGUCAGCAUCGAAAAAUAAGAAAAAUGCAGCAGCUUCAAAAGCAGGAGGGGAUCCUGUCGCCCUCUUACCCAGACCCCUUGGUCCUCUUCUUUGCAUACCAGGUCAUCUUUGCCGUGAGACUCCAAAAAGUGCAGUUCCAAAACCACAGAUCUGGGCGAUAUUUUCAAAACUACAUUUUAUUACAGCCUUCAUCUAGAUUCCACAAAUUUUGUAUUAGUUCUAUUUUCUCUUUGUUAAUAAUCUAAGUGAAAUGUUUAUCAUUACAUCUUCUAACUUGUAUUGUUGUGGAUACAUAGGAAAGCUGCCUUUGGAGAGAAGGAAAUUCUCUUAAAAAUACAUCCACUGUUUCAGCGUAUUCUCCUGGGGUUCUCCAAGUACAUAAUCACAUCGGUUACAAAUUAUUUUAUUUCCUCCUGGCCAGUAUUUUUCUCUCUUAUUUGUUUCAUGUUUUAGUGUACGCACCAGAACCUCCAAAAUAAUGUUAUAUAAAAAUGGUCAUAGGCAUCGUCCUUUGGUUCUUGGUUUUAAGGAGCUUUCUCCUAGAACAGUUGCUCUCUACUUUAUUGCCAGACUCCCAAGCCCUCGAGAGUCUGAUUUAAUUGGUCAGGGCUGGGUCUCAGGCAUCAGCAGGCCUUAAACAUUCCCCAGGUGAUGCUUAUGUUCAAAGGAUUGAGACCCUCAGCUCCAGACAAUUUAACAUGGAGUAUGAUGUUGGCUGCUUAUUUAACACAGAUAUUCCUUAUCACAUUUAGGAAAGAUAUGCAGUUCUCAGGUAUCUAAGAUUUGUUCGUUUUUUCAUUUGUUUUCUAGUUUAGAAAGAGUGUUGCAAUUAUCUAUUGAGAUGAUUGCAUUAUACAUAUAUUCUUAUUGAAUACAUUAAAGUGGUGAAUAAAACAUCCUUGCGUUCUUCAGUUAAACUCAACUCGGCCGUGAGAAGAAACCAAAGCACAGAAAGGUGAAGCAAAGUUGGUGCUUGACCCCAUCGCUCAAAAGGGGCAGAGUGGAAGAACACGCGUGACCAGAAACCAGGCAGGAAAGGGUUAAAGUCUGAUCCAUAACUAAGCAAAGUCUGUCAAGUGUUUUCCAGACAAGGAGAAAACUAUAUGUGCUGUUUUCCAGAAGUUGAUGUCCUCCUUUUGGCAGAUGGUGCCCUCCUACAGUGAGACUUACACCGUUGCAGCAGGACCCCUGUAAAUUCCUCCAGCUCCAAGUAUCCAAAACUUACCUUGGACCUGUUCUGUAAGAUAUACCUUUGACUCUGCUCUGCCUGCCUGUGCCCUGGGACCUGACCUCCAUGGCCUGCAUCUCUUGGGCUUUCUUGUCCUCUGACUUCCAUUUGUCUUCAACGGAUGUACCAGCAGGAAACCAGAGAUCCAGAGGAGAGAGCAGUUAGAAUGUUUACUCUGAUGGCUGCAGAUUUGGCAGUGGCUGCAUUCCUCAAUCUAUGGCCACAUCUCCUGGUGGGUGGCCUCUUUCCCGUGACUAUGGGCUCACUGGCUUCCACUAACACUGCUCCCUCCCCUUGUCCCUUUGUGCCUAGGGACUCACUCUUGCUAAUUCCUGAGUACUUAACCAUUUAUUGUUGAGUCCAUUAAUCCUACCAGCACCUGUGUCAACAGUCUUUCCAUUAAACUCUCUUCAGUUAA
ensembl:lncRNA